GGAGAGUUAUUCCGUAAGUAGUAGCGGAGCAGACUGUAAAUCUGUUGCUUAGGCUCGGGUGGUGCGACUCCAUCACUCUCCA
rnacentral:tRNA from 1 species